AUAAAAAAAAUCAAACUUGAUUGGACAUCUUGUUUCUUUGCAUUGCAUCUCCAUAAUUAACUUUAAGGGCACUUAACCCAUUAAUCAGAUAAGGUGGGGAUUUGAUCACCCUUUCUUAGUCCAAAAAUCACAUCCUUCAUCCUGCAUAACCUAGACCUUAAUCUAAAAUCAAUUAAACGUUGGCCCUAGGAUAUUCGAGUUCAAUAGGACAAGAAAGCCCUAAAGUUAGACCGGGUUCGAAUUGAUUAAUUGCUCGGUGUCUAAGGCAAGUGGUUUAAGAAGGUGGUUUUCAAUUGGUUUCGUUGUCUGACCUGGCCAACUCAGUUGGUGUCUAAGAAAAGCAACAAGCAGGGGACCUCCCACAUCUUACACUUACCUGGCCGAGAUAGUUAGUCAGUUUUGGGCUUGGAGUGCUUGAAGGCGAUCUUGGAACAGUUAGGAGCUGUCUAGAUCUAGGUUAACCCUAGGAUAGAAAGUCCAUUUUAUGCUAACUUGUUUGC
rnacentral:lncRNA from 1 species